rnacentral:rRNA from 1 species
CACGUGUUACAAUGGCAGGUACAGAGGGGUGCUACCGGGUGACCGGAUGCCGAUCUCGAAAACCUGUCCCAGUUCGGACUGGAGUCUGCAACCCGACUCCACGAAGUUGGAUUCGCUAGUAAUCGCGCAUCAGCCAUGGCGCGGUGAAUACGUUCCCGGGCCUUGUACACACCGCCCGUCAAGCCAUGGGAGCCGGGGGCGCCUGAAGUCCGGGACCGCGAGGACCGGCCUAGGGCGAAACUGGUGACUGGGGCUAAGUCGUAACAAGGUAAC